rnacentral:lncRNA from 1 species
CUGACAUAAAACGUGUAAACCAACACUUUGAUAUACUGGCCCUAGGAAAGUAAGGAUUGACCCACUCCUGAUGUUUAACGUGGGUUGUCUUCUAUUUCCUAGUGUCUCGGCUAGUUUGAGAAAUACAGGGAAAGAGCUCAAGAGAGAGAAAUUUAAAGCUGGGUGUCCACGGGAGACAUCACAUGUCGGCAGGAUCCAUGAUGUUCCCUGAGCCUUAAAACCAGUAAGUUUUUUAUUAGCGAUUUUCAAAAGGGGAGGGAGUGCACAAAUAGGGUGUGGGUCACAGAGAUCACAUACUUCACAAGGUAAUAAAAUAUCACAAAGCAAAUGGAGGCAGGGCAAGAUCACAGGACCCACCCGAUAAGGUGAAAUUAAAAUUGCUAAUGAAGUUUCAGGCACGCAUUGUCAUUGAUAACAUCUUAUCAGGAAACAGGGUUUGACAGCAGACAACUGGUCUGACCAAAAUUUAUUAGGCGGGAAUUUUCCUCAUCCUAAUAAGCCUGGGAGCACUACGGGAGACCGGGGCUUAUUUCAUCCCUUGGGCUUCAACCUUAAAAGGCGGCACGCCUUAAAGGGGCAGUCUAUAAGCCUACCUUCAGGGCACAUUCUCUUUCUCAGCGAUGUUCCUUGCUGAGAAAAAGAAUUCAGCGAUAUUUCUCCUGUUUGCUUUUGAAAGAGGAGAAAUAUAGCUCUGUUCUAUCCAGCUCACCGGCGGCCAGUUCCAAGUUACCUCUCUUGUUCCCUGAACAUUGCUGUUAACCUGUUCUUUUUUUAAGAUACCCAGAUUUCAUAUUGUUCAAACGAGAUGCUCUACAAACAAUCUGUGCAGUUGACACAAUCAUCACAGGGUCCUGAGGUGACAUUCAUCCUCCUCAGCUUACGAAGAAGAUGACGAUGACGGGAUUAAGAGAUUAAAGUAAAUACAGGCAUAAGAAAUUAUAAAAAUAUUAAUUUGGGGAACGAAUAAAUGUCCAUGAAAUCUUCACAAUUUAUGUUCUUCUGCCGUGGCUUCAGCCGGUCCCUCCAUUCAGGGUCCCUGACUUCCAGCAACAGAAGCACACAUUUUACUUUAUUUCAAUACCCUUUGAGUGAGUUUUUUGCAUACUCAGUGACUACUCCGCAACCACAGAGGGACCUGGGGUGGAGUAGCCUCACCACCACGCCCGGUUAAUUUUUUUGUAUUUUUAGUAGAGACAGGAUUUCACAGUGUUGGCCAGUCUGGUCUUGAACUCCUGAUCUCAGGUGAUCCGCCUGCCUUGGCAUCCCAAAGUGCUGAGAUUACAGGCGUGAGCCACCACGCCCGGCUGUCUAAUGCUUCUUGAACAAGGUGGCAUAGUGGCAUUAAAAACAGCCUUAUUGGCCGGGCGCGGUGGCUCAAGCCUGUAAUCCCAGCACUCUGGAAGGCCGAGGCAGGCGGAUCACGAGGUCAGGAGAUCGAGACCAUCCUGGCUAACACGGUGAAACCCCGUCUCUACUAAAAAAAAAUACAAAAAACUAGCCGGGCGAGUGGCGGGCGCCUGUAGUCCCAGCUAUCGGGAGGCUGAGGCAGGAGAAUGGCGUAAACCCGGGAGGCGAGCUUCAGUGAGCUGAGAUCCGGCCACUGCACUCCAGCCCGGGCGACAGAGCGAGACUCCGUCUCAAAAAAAAAAAAAAGAAAAAAAAAAAAAAAAAAAAAAAAACAGCCUUAUUUUGUACAGAUGGUUUGGAAGUGGCUCUGGUGUUUGAACAUCAACUGUUUGGGGACUGUUGCUUUGAUUUUAAUCCUGUUUGACAUGAAAUGUCAUCCUAGUCUUACUAGUGAUGUGUGUAAACUGUAUAUACAUGAGCAUUUGUACUUCACGUGGGGAAAUGGGUGAGACUUCACCUGUGACCUUUCUCAUUUCACUCUUAGAAAUAUACUGAAGGGCUUGAUGUGCUAUUGCUUUAGAAUUCCUGGGUUUAACAGGAUAGUGUGACUUCACUGAUUUUUUUUUUUCAGUCACUGUAUUUUGCAGUUCUCGUCCAUUGAUUGUCCGGAGCUGCACGCCCCGGCCAUAGCGAAUAAUAACUGAUGAUUAAAAACGCCUGAGCUCUAUUCAUUUCCACCUUCUACCUCCUCCCUAGAUUUACCUUUUUCCCUGUAUUAAUACCUCAUAAAAGAUG